CGAAAAUUAUAUAACUUUUAUCGUGUUUGUGUCAGUUUACGUAGACUGUUUUCUAUAUCGAUUGAAACGAUUAGGCGCACGAAUAUCCCGAGAAUGGACCGUCGUGGAUAUUUAUUCUAAGAGUGGUCGUUCUGAAGAUUCGUUAAUAGUGUCGCCAAGCGUUCGUCCGAGCCAGACUGUGCUGUCCCUUCUCUCCUACCUGAGGGGACCGAAAUAGAACGCGGGAGAAGCGGCGAUAUCGACGCGUCGCGACGCCGUGGAACGUGUGUGCAGCCGUGGCCGAACAAUAAACAAUAACAAGACGUCGCGUGUCCGCGACACGACUGCCGCGACCUGUUGCCGGCCGCCGAAAAAGAUCCCGCCGGAUGUCGCGCGCGUUUCGCCGGAGUCCGUGAAAUGAUCGUUUCGGUGCAGAUCGCCGCGGUAACGGGGAUCCCUGUGUCAUGGCGGUGAUCGUCGCUUGGAACGGCCACGUUCGCGCACGCAUGGCUACGAUGCUGGCUACUACCAAGGAGAGAAAGAGAGGAAGAAUGAGGAGCUGACUGAGAGGCGGAUUCAACGCUAGGAAACCACGCUCGAUGAGGUUGCUCGGGUUGACGCCGGAACUAGGACAACGGGUGCAUUUCGCAGAGGGCACGAACUUACGGUGCCGCGAAGAUAAGAAACCGUCCGAUGAUUCGGAGGAAAGGU